rnacentral:rRNA from 1 species
GAUGAACGCUAGCUACAGGCUUAACACAUGCAAGUCGAGGGGCAGCACAGUGUAGCAAUACACGGGUGGCGACCGGCGCACGGGUGCGUAACGCGUAUCCAACCUUCCCGUUACUCUUGGAUAGCCUUCCGAAAGGGAGAUUAAUCCAAGAUGGUAUUCAAAUCCCGCAUGGUAUUUGAAUUACAGAUUUAUCGGUAACGGAUGGGGAUGCGUGACAUUAGAUAGUAGGCGGGGUAACGGCCCACCUAGUCUACGAUGUCUAGGGGUUCUGGGAGGGAGGUCCCCCACACUGGAACUGAGACACGGUCCAGACUCCUACGGGAGGCAGCAGUGAGGAAUAUUGGUCAAUGGUCGGAAGACUGAACCAGCCAAGUAGCGUGAAGGAUGAAGGUUCUAUGGAUUGUAAACUUCUUUUAUACGGGAAUAAAACCUCCCACGUGUGGGAGCUUGUAUGUACCGUAUGAAUAAGCAUCGGCUAACUCCGUGCCAGCAGCCGCCGCCGUAA